rnacentral:lncRNA from 1 species
GUUUGGACGACUUCAGAAUAUCGAAUUUUUCACCAGGCCCGGUCGUCCUGCCAAAUUUCCUGAGUUUUCGCCAGUGGGAAGUGGGCCAUUUUCCAGUUUAAAGCGGAGGAAAAAUAAUAACUAGGGCCCCGGUGGGGCACUGUCGGGCCCGAGCCACGUCGCGCCGCCCCCAGCGCGACCGCCUCCCCCUCCCAAUCGCGUCACACUCAAGGUCCAAAGAUGGUGUGCGCACUUGUCUGUGGUCAUUUCCCAUUAUAAUGAAUGGGAGGCGCAGUUUCUACCAAAACGGUCGCUGCAGACAAACUACAUGUCCUAUUUGAAAAAAGUCUGGACCAUGAGUGAUGGCACAAACACAGCUAGGAUAUAUCCAAAUGGCAAGUUGCUCCUCCUUACGGUGUUGCUGGGAGAGCGAUGCGAUUGAGCCAUUGACCGAUGGGCAGGGUUAACUUGACUUUUUCUCCUGCCUUGGGGGUGGGGGGGGGGGGGGGCGAUGUGGAUUCUUUUAAAAAUGUGGAUAUUUGGGUCCUCUUUGGCGCCCCCUAGAACGUAAACCGUGGGGUGCAGCGUCAUGAUUUUUACAACUUUGAAUGGCCAUGGAGUUUAGAUUGGCCUGAGCAAAUUUGGUGUCAGUGGGACGAAAGCCUUAGGAGGAGUUAGCCACAUUCCAAUGUGUGCGAAACGGCAAAAAAUGCGAAAUAGCCCUUUAACCGUACAUUUUACUGAUACGCGCGCAUUGACUCUUUCGUAGAUCUUAUUGAGAUACACGUGAUUGUCAAAUUUUGUGUCAAUAUGACGAAGCGUACAGGCGUGACAUUCAACAAUGUGUAUUUUCGCCUUAGGGGACUAGAAAAAAUUGACUUUUUUCUCCUGCCAUGGGGGGGCGCUCUUUUGGCGAGUAAAAAUUCCUUCACAAAUGUGUUGAUGGCUGGACAUUGCAUCAUCCUAGAAAACUUGGAGGCCAGUGAGGACAAAAAUAAAAAGUUAUAAGACUUUUAAGAAUGUGGAUUUUUGGGUUAUUUUUGGCGCCCCCUAGAACGUAAACCGUGGGGUGCAGCAUCAUGAUUUGUACAACUUUUAAUGGCCAUGGGGUGUAGAUUGGCCUGAGCAAAUUUGGUGCCGGUGGAACGAAAGCCUUCGGAGGAGUUAGCGAAAUUCCAAUGUGUGCGGAUCGGCAAAAAAUGCGAAAUAGCCCUUUAACCGUACAUUUGACAGAUACGCCCGCACUGACUUUUUUGUAGAUCUUAUUGAGAUACACAUGUGUGUCAAAUUUUGUGUCAUUUUGACAAAGGGUACAGGCGUCAGGUGAGUUUUCACCAUAGGGGGCGCUAUGGAGCCAUUUUUCAUUUUUUUGUUUGGGCGACUUCAGAAUAUCAAAUUUUUCACCAGGCCCGGUCGUCCUGCCAAAUUUCCUGAGUUUUCGCCAGUGGGAAGUGGGCCAUUUUCCAGUUUAAAGCGGAGGAAAAAUAACGAAAGAAGAAUCCAUCAGGAACAAGAGGGCUCUCGCAGCUGCUUAGCAGCUACGCUCGGGCCCUAAUAAUAACAAAAGAAGAAUCCAUCAGGAACAAGAGGGCUCUCGCAGCUGCUUAGCAGCUACGCUCGGGCCCUAAAGAAGAAAGAAGAAUCCAUCAGGAACAAUAGGGCUCUCGCAGCUGCUUAGCAGCUACGCUCGGGCCCUAAGAAGAAUCCAUCAGGAACAAGAGGGCUCUCGCAACUGCUUAGCAGCUACGCUCGGGCCCUAAAGAAAGAAAGAAAGAAAGAACUAGGGCCCCGGUGGGGCACUGGCGGGCCCGAGCCGUGUCGCGCCGCCCCCAGCGCGACCGCCUACCCCUCCCGAUCGCGUCACACUCAAGGUCCAAAGAUGGUGUGCGCACUUGUCUGUGGUCAUUGACCAUUAUAAUGAAUGAAAGGCGCAGUUUCUACCAAAACGCUCGCUGCAGACAAACUCCAUGUCCUUUUUGGAAAAAGUCUGGACCAUGAGUGAGGGCACAAACACAGCAAGUAUAUAUCCAAAUGGCAAGUUGCUCCUCCUUUCGGUUUUGCCGAGAGAGCGAUCCGUUUGAGCCAUUGAGCGAUGGGCAGGAAAAACUUGACUUUUUCUCCUGCCAUGGGAGGGCGCUCUUUUGGGGAGAAAAAAUUCCUUCACAAAUGUGUUGAUGGCGUGACAUUGCAUCAUCCUAGAAAACUUGGAGGCCAGUGAGGACAAAAAUAAAAAGUUAUAAGACUUUUAAAUAUGUGGAUAUUUGGGUCCUCUUUGGCGCCCCCUAGAACGUAGACCGUGGGGUGCAGCGGCAUGAUUUUUACAACUUUGAAUGGCCAUGGGGUGUAGAUUGGCCUGAGCAAAUUUGGUGUCAGUGGGACGAAAGCCUUAGGAGGAGUUAGCCACAUUCCAAUGUGUGCGAAUCGGCAAAAAAUGAAAAAUAGCCGUUUAGCCGUACAUUUUACAGAUACGCGCGCAUUCACUUUUUCGUAGAUCUUAUUGAGAUACACGUGUGUGUCAAAUUUUUUGUCAAUAUGACAAAGCGUACAGGCGUGACAUUCAACAAUGUGUAUUUUCGCCUUAGGGGACAAGAAAAAAUUGACUUUUUUGUCCUGCCAUGGGGGGGCGCUCUUUUGGGGAGUAAAAAUUCCUUCACAAAUGUGUUGAUGGCUGGACAUUGCAUCAUCCUAGAAAACUUGGAGGCCAGUGAGGACAAAAAUAAAAAGUUAUAAAACUUUUAAGAAUGUGGAUUUUUGGGUUAUUUUUGGCGCCCCCUAGAACGUAAACCGUGGGAUGCAGCGUCAUGAUUUGUACAACUUUGAAUUGCCAUGGGGUGUAGAUUGGCCUGAGCAAAUUUGGUGUCAGUGGAACGAAAGCCUUAGGAGGAGUUAGCGAAAUUCCAAUGUGUGCGAAUCUGGCAAAAAAUGCGAAAUAGCCCUUUAACUGUACAUUUUACAGAUACGCGCACAUUGACUUUUUCGUAGAUCUUAUUGAGAUACACAUGAUUGUCAAAUUUUGUGUCAAUAUGACAAAGCGUACAGGCGUGACACUCAACAAUGUGUAUAUUCGCCUUUGGGGACAAGAAAAAAUGGACUUUUUUUUCUCCUGCCAUGGGGGGGCGCUCUUUUGGCGAGUAAAAAUUCCUUCACAAAUGUGUUAAUUGCUGGACAUUGCAUCAUCCUAGAGAACUUGGAGGCCAGUGAGGACAAAAAUAAAAAGUUAUAAGACUUUUAAGACUGUGGAUUUUUGGGUUAUCUUUGGCGCCCCCUAGAACGUAAACCGUGGGGUGCAGCGUCAUGAUUUGAAUAACUUUUAAUGGCCAUGGGGUGUAGAUUGGCCUGAGCAAAUGUGCUGCCGGUGGAACGAAAGCCUUCGGAGGAGUUAGCGAAAUUCCAAUGUGUGCGGAUCGGCAAAAAAUGCGAAAUAACCCUUUAACCGUACAUUUGACAGACACGCCCGCGCUGACUUUUUUGUAGAUCUUAUUGUGAUACAUGUGUGUGUCAAUUUUUGUGUCAAAAUGACAAAGCGUACAGGCGUGACAGUCAAUAGUGUGAAUUUUCACCUUAGGGGGUGCUAUGGAGCCAUUUUGCAUUUUAUUGUUUGGGCGACUUCAGAAUAUCGAAUU